UCGAGCGGUAAGGCCUUUCGGGGUACACGAGCGGCGAACGGGUGAGUAACACGUGGGUGAUCUGCCCUGCACUUCGGGAUAAGCCUGGGAAACUGGGUCUAAUACCGGAUAUGACUUCCGGUUGCAUGACUUGGGGUGGAAAGAUUUAUCGGUGCAGGAUGGGCCCGCGGCCUAUCAGCUUGUUGGUGGGGUAAUGGCCUACCAAGGCGACGACGGGUAGCCGACCUGAGAGGGUGACCGGCCACACUGGGACUGAGACACGGCCCAGACUCCUACGGGAGGCAGCAGUGGGGAAUAUUGCACAAUGGGCGAAAGCCUGAUGCAGCGACGCCGCGUGAGGGAUGACGGCCUUCGGGUUGUAAACCUCUUUCAGCAGGGACGAAGCGCAAGUGACGGUACCUGCAGAAGAAGCACCGGCUAACUACGUGCCAGCAGCCGCGGUAAUACGUAGGGUGCAAGCGUUGUCCGGAAUUACUGGGCGUAAAGAGUUCGUAGGCGGUUUGUCCGUCGUUUGUGAAAACCAGCAGCUCAACUGCUGGCUUGCAGGCGAUACGGGCAGACUUGAGUACUGCAGGAGACUGGAAUUCCUGGUGUUAGCGGUGAAAUGCGCAGAUAUCAGGAGGAACACCGGGUGGCGAAGGCGGUUCUUCUGGGCAGUAACUGACGCUGAGUGAACAAAGCGGUGGGUAGCGAACCAGGAUUAGAUA
rnacentral:rRNA from 1 species